rnacentral:rRNA from 1 species
GAUGAACGCUGGCGGCGUGCCUAAUACAUGCAAGUCGAGCGAACAGACGAGGAGCUUGCUCCUCUGACGUUAGCGGCGGACGGGUGAGUAACACGUGGAUAACCUACCUAUAAUACUGGGAUAACUUCGGGAAACCGGAGCUAAUACCGGAGAAUAUAUUCAACCGCAUGGUUCAAUAGUGAAAGACGGUUUUGCUGUCACUUAUAGAUGGAUCCGCGCCGCAUUAGCUAGUUGGUAAGGUAACGGCUUACCAAGGCGACGAUGCGUAGCCGACCUGAGAGGGUGAUCGGCCACACUGGAACUGAGACACGGUCCAGACUCCUACGGGAGGCAGCAGUAGGGAAUCUUCCGCAAUGGGCGAAAGCCUGACGGAGCAACGCCGCGUGAGUGAUGAAGGUCUUCGGAUCGUAAAACUCUGUUAUUAGGGAAGAACAAAUGUGUAAGUAACUAUGCACGUCUUGACGGUACCUAAUCAGAAAGCCACGGCUAACUACGUG